AGAGUUUGAUCCUGGCUCAGGAUGAACGCUGGCGGCGUGCCUAAUACAUGCAAGUCGAGCGAACGGACGAGAAGCUUGCUUCUCUGAUGUUAGCGGCGGACGGGUGAGUAACACGUGGAUAACCUACCUAUAAGACUGGGAUAACUUCGGGAAACCGUAGCUAAUACCGGAUAAUAUUUUGAACCGCAUGGUUCAAAAGUGAAAGACGGUCUUGCUGUCACUUAUAGAUGGAUCCGCGCUGCAUUAGCUAGUUGGUAAGGUAACGGCUUACCAAGGCAACGAUGCAUAGCCGACCUGAGAGGGUGAUCGGCCACACUGGAACUGAGACGCGGUCCAGACUCCUACGGGAGGCAGCAGUAGGGAAUCUUCCGCAAUGGGCGAAAGCCUGACGGAGCAACGCCGCGUGAGUGAUGAAGGUCUUCGGAUCGUAAAACUCUGUUAUUAGGGAAGAACAUAUGUGUAAGUAACUGUGCACAUCUUGACGGUACCUAAUCAGAAAGCCACGGCUAACUACGUGCCAGCAGCCGCGGUAAUACGUAGGUGGCAAGCGUUAUCCGGAAUUAUUGGGCGUAAAGCGCGCGUAGGCGGUUUUUUAAGUCUGAUGUGAAAGCCCACGGCUCAACCGUGGAGGGUCAUUGGAAACUGGAAAACUUGAGUGCAGAAGAGGAAAGUGGAAUUCCAUGUGUAGCGGUGAAAUGCGCAGAGAUAUGGAGGAACACCAGUGGCGAAGGCGACUUUCUGGUCUGUAACUGACGCUGAUGUGCGAAAGCGUGGGGAUCAAACAGGAUUAGAUACCCUGGUAGUCCACGCCGUAAACGAUGAGUGCUAAGUGUUAGGGGGUUUCCGCCCCUUAGUGCUGCAGCUAACGCAUUAAGCACUCCGCCUGGGGAGUACGACCGCAAGGUUGAAACUCAAAGGAAUUGACGGGGACCCGCACAAGCGGUGGAGCAUGUGGUUUAAUUCGAAGCAACGCGAAGAACCUUACCAAAUCUUGACAUCCUUUGACAACUCUAGAGAUAGAGCCUUCCCCUUCGGGGGACAAAGUGACAGGUGGUGCAUGGUUGUCGUCAGCUCGUGUCGUGAGAUGUUGGGUUAAGUCCCGCAACGAGCGCAACCCUUAAGCUUAGUUGCCAUCAUUAAGUUGGGCACUCUAAGUUGACUGCCGGUGACAAACCGGAGGAAGGUGGGGAUGACGUCAAAUCAUCAUGCCCCUUAUGAUUUGGGCUACACACGUGCUACAAUGGACAAUACAAAGGGCAGCGAAACCGCGAGGUCAAGCAAAUCCCAUAAAGUUGUUCUCAGUUCGGAUUGUAGUCUGCAACUCGACUACAUGAAGCUGGAAUCGCUAGUAAUCGUAGAUCAGCAUGCUACGGUGAAUACGUUCCCGGGUCUUGUACACACCGCCCGUCACACCACGAGAGUUUGUAACACCCGAAGCCGGUGGAGUAACCUUUUAGGAGCUAGCCGUCGAAGGUGGGACAAAUGAUUGGGGUGAAGUCGUAACAAGGUAGCCGUAUCGGAAGGUGCGGCUGGAUCACCU
rnacentral:rRNA from 1 species